GCAGCUGUACCAGGCUUUUCCACUAUUGCUCUCGGAGGGCGGGAGGGGGGCGGGGGGGCCUACUUGGUUCAGAAUUCUCUUCCCUGGCUCGGGCACCAUCAGAGCCUGGAGAUGAAGCACUGCACAAUAGCAGCAGCUACCAGUGCAGGGGCAGAAGGCAGCACAGUGGUCUCCACUACCAGGUUGCCACCUUAACACCUCUUUACCUUCCUGCGGAUGAUUAGAAAUGGCUCACAUAAGGCUACACAACAAGAAGGAUAAGGACGCAGAAACCUCCCAAGCCCCAGAUGCACAUCAUGAGCUUGCACCGCCUCCAGGGGCAGUCAAAUUUCUCUGGACAGUGAGGGCAAGUCCACAGGUCUGCCCGAGAUGUGAUUAGGGGACACGGGGCUCUAUCACAGAGAUGAGAAAAUCAAGCACAACAGGGUUUCACGUCUUACACAAGGUCACCUGCCCUGAGGUGCAAGAGCCAAGACAGAAUGCAAGGUGGCUCGCUGGGGAGAGAUGAGUAACAGUGGCGUAGCAGUGCACACACUCCGAAGUGACUAACCAGGAGUGGGCAGCAUGUGGAAAGGCACGCACACAGGCUGCCUGGAUCAGCCACGCAACAGGCAAGCGGGGUGAGACAAAGCUUUUGCCUUCCUGGGCCUCAGGCUCUCUCUCUCUAACAAAUUGAAUAAUGCCUCCUGGUUAAUAGGCUAUAAUUUAAAAACAAGUGUCAGCCUUGUGCUCUGGUUUAGCCUGAGUCCCCAUGGGCUCAUGUGUUAGAAGCCCCGCCCUAGUGUGGCAAUGGUAAGAGCCAAGUGGGACCUAUGGAAUGGGGGUGUAGCUCAGCGGUAGGGUGCUUGCCUAGCCCACAGCCCCAGGUCAGGUCACUAGCAUCGCAUACAACUAAGCAUGUCGGCACAGGCCCGUAGUCCCAGCACUCAAGUGAAGGCAAGAAGAGCAGAAUUGAAGGGCAUCCUUGGUUCACAGUGAGUUUCCAGCCCAGGCUGCCCUGUCCCAAAAUAAUCAAGAGGUGGGAGGCCCUUGGAUUAUGUGGGCAGAUUCUACCCUCAAGAGAUUAAGGUGGAUCGGUCUCACAGUAUAGCCCUGGCUGGCCUGGAACUCACAACAAUCCACCUGCCUCUGCCUCCCCAGGGCUGGGUUAAAAGUGUAUGCUACCACACUUGGCACUAGGGUAGCUUUCAUGAGGCCUGGUUGUUCUUUCAAGACCAAAUAUCAUAAAAGGCCAAGUCUGGCCUGGCCUGUCUCACUGUGUGACCUCCCUCUUAGAUUCCCACUGUGACAAUGUUAGCUGUCAUGUGAGCAGCCACAGAGGACCGUCAAUAGGGCUGACAGCAUGCUACUGCGACUUUCAGCUUUGAAUACCAUGAACAAAAUAAAAGACUUUUUGUUCUAAUUCAACCUGGGAUGUUUCAUUAUAGUGGGAAUCCGACCAGAACACCUCUGCACGGUACCACACACACUCAUGCCUGAGCCCAGAACCUUCUCCUGCAGUUUGUCUUUUAUUUAUUUUUGAGACAGCGUCUCGGGGCAGCCUCAGACCUGUGAGCCUCUUCAGGUACGGUGAUAUUCCACCUGGCCCAGCACCUUCCCUUUUCUCAGAAACAGAACUGUAGGCUUCCUGGAACUUCAGACCUGUGCUCGGGUCUGCGUCUGUCAGGCCUCUGCAAUGUGAAGCCAUCCUCUUUUGCUAACACUUGUGCCAUGGGGAAUCAUAUCUACCUUCUGAACGAACUCUCCUGAGUGAUGCUGACCCCGGAUCGGCAUUGCUUCAGGAUGGUGCGGGAGAGCAGAAGGCUCACACUGACCCAGCCAUGCAUGCUUGGUCACUGAGUUCAUAGGAGUAGCCACACGGGAGCUCCCUGCUGGCUGUGGAGAGGACGCCUACCUCUGCAGAUUUCUUCUCUCUAAAUCCCUGUGACUGCUCUGGGGACUCGGAGAACUGUAUUCCACUCU